rnacentral:RNase_P_RNA from 1 species
GGAGCAGAACAAACGAUCGCUGGAUUAUCCAUAUGAUCCAGAGGAAAGUCCGAACACCUCAGGGCAGGGUGCUCCAUAACGUGGAGUCGCGGCAACGUGAAGGAAAGUGCAACAGAAAGUAUACCGCCCGACACUCUAGAUGCUGGGUGCCGGGUAAGGGUGAAAUGGUGUGGUAAGGGCACACCAGUUCCCAGGGUGACCUGGGAAGCUUGGCAAACCCCACCUGGUGCAAGACCACAUAGAGGAAUGCUUGAGAAUGGCCCGUUCGAGUUCCGGGGUAGGUCGCAAAAGGUGCCGGGCAACCGACAUCUUCAGAUGAAUGAUCGUUACCUUUUUUUGGGCAACCAAAAUAAGGGACAGAAUUCGGCUUAUGAGCUGCUUCGGCC